AUUCUGUAGCAAGGUUAACCGAAUAGGGGAGCCGGAGGGAAACCGAGUCUUAACCGGGCGUUAAGUUGCAGGGUAUAGACCCGAAACCCGGUGAUCUAGCCAUGGGCAGGUUGAAGGUUGGGUAACACUAACUGGAGGACCGAACCGACUAAUGUUGAAAAAUUAGCGGAUGACCUGUGGCUGGGGGUGAAAGGCCAAUCAAACCGGGAGAUAGCUGGUUCUCCCCGAAAGCUAUUUAGGUAGCGCCUCGUGAAUUCAUCUCCGGGGGUAGAGCACUGUUUCGGCUAGGGGGCCAUCCCGGCUUACCAACCCGAUGCAAACUGCGAAUACCGGAGAAUGUUAUCACGGGAGACACACGGCGGGUGCUAACGUCCGUCGUGAAGAGGGAAACAACCCAGACCGCCAGCUAAGGUCCCAAAGUCAUGGUUAAGUGGGAAACGAUGUGGGAAGGCCCAGACAGCCAGGAUGUUGGCUUAGAAGCAGCCAUCAUUUAAAGAAAGCGUAAUAGCUCACUGGUCGAGUCGGCCUGCGCGGAAGAUGUAACGGGGCUAAACCAUGCACCGAAGCUGCGGCAGCGACGCUGAUGCGUUGUUGGGUAGGGGAGCGUUCUGUAAGCCUGCGAAGGUGUGUCGUGAGGCAUGCUGGAGGUAUCAGAAGUGCGAAUGCUGACAUAAGUAACGAUAAAGCGGGUGAAAAGCCCGCUCGCCGGAAGACCAAGGGUUCCUGUCCAACGUUAAUCGGGGCAGGGUGAGUCGACCCCUAAGGCGAGGCCGAAAGGCGUAGUCGAUGGGAAACGGGUUAAUAUUCCCGUACUUGGUGUUACUGCGAAGGGGGGACGGAGAAGGCUAUGUUGGCCGGGCGACGGUUGUCCCGGUUUAAGCGUGUAGGUGUGUGUUCCAGGUAAAUCCGGUUCACUUUAACACUGAGGCGUGAUGACGAGGCACUACGGUGCUGAAGCAACAAAUGCCCUGCUUCCAGGAAAAGCCUCUAAGCAUCAGGUAACAUCAAAUCGUACCCCAAACCGACACAGGUGGUCAGGUAGAGAAUACCAAGGCGCUUGAGAGAACUCGGGUGAAGGAACUAGGCAAAAUGGUGCCGUAACUUCGGGAGAAGGCACGCUGACACGUAGGUGAAGUGAUUUACUCAUGGAGCUGAAGUCAGUCGAAGAUACCAGCUGGCUGCAACUGUUUAUUAAAAACACAGCACUGUGCAAACACGAAAGUGGACGUAUACGGUGUGACGCCUGCCCGGUGCCGGAAGGUUAAUUGAUGGGGUCAGCGCAAGCGAAGCUCCUGAUCGAAGCCCCGGUAAACGGCGGCCGUAACUAUAACGGUCCUAAGGUAGCGAAAUUCCUUGUCGGGUAAGUUCCGACCUGCACGAAUGGCGUAAUGAUGGCCAGGCUGUCUCCACCCGAGACUCAGUGAAAUUGAACUCGCUGUGAAGAUGCAGUGUACCCGCGGCAAGACGGAAAGACCCCGUGAACCUUUACUAUAGCUUGACACUGAACAUUGAGCCUUGAUGUGUAGGAUAGGUGGGAGGCUUUGAAGUGUGGACGCCAGUCUGCAUGGAGCCGGCCUUGAAAUACCACCCUUUAAUGUUUGAUGUUCUAACGUGGACCCGUGAUCCGGGUUGCGGACAGUGUCUGGUGGGUAGUUUGACUGGGGCGGUCUCCUCCUAAAGAGUAACGGAGGAGCACGAAGGUUGGCUAAUCCUGGUCGGACAUCAGGAGGUUAGUGCAAUGGCAUAAGCCAGCUUGACUGCGAGCGUGACGGCGCGAGCAGGUGCGAAAGCAGGUCAUAGUGAUCCGGUGGUUCUGAAUGGAAGGGCCAUCGCUCAACGGAUAAAAGGUACUCCGGGGAUAACAGGCUGAUACCGCCCAAGAGUUCAUAUCGACGGCGGUGUUUGGCACCUCGAUGUCGGCUCAUCACAUCCUGGGGCUGAAGUAGGUCCCAAGGGUAUGGCUGUUCGCCAUUUAAAGUGGUACGCGAGCUGGGUUUAGAACGUCGUGAGACAGUUCGGUCCCUAUCUGCCGUGGGCGCUGGAGAACUGAGGGGGGCUGCUCCUAGUACGAGAGGACCGGAGUGGACGCAUCACUGGUGUUCGGGUUGUCAUGCCAAUGGCACUGCCCGGUAGCUAAAUGCGGAAGAGAUAAGUGCUGAAAGCAUCUAAGCACGAAACUUGCCCCGAGAUGAGUUCUCCCUGAGACUUAGAGUCUCCUGAAGGAACGUUGAAGACGACGACGUUGAUAGGCCGGGUGUGUAAGCGCAGCGAUGCGUUGAGCUAACCGGUACUAAUGAACCGUGAGGCUUAACCUUACAACGCCGAA
rnacentral:rRNA from 1 species